CAAUAAAGGUGAGACAUCACAUGAGUGAG
rnacentral:piRNA from 1 species